CCUACGGGCGGCUGCAGUGGGGAAUAUUGGACAAUGGGGGGAACCCUGAUCCAGCCAUGCCGCGUGUGUGAAGAAGGCCCUCGGGUUGUAAAGCACUUUCAGUGAGGAAGAACGCCUGGUGGUUAAUACCCAUCAGGAAAGACAUCACUCACAGAAGAAGCACCGGCUAACUCCGUGCCAGCAGCCGCGGUAAUACGGAGGGUGCGAGCGUUAAUCGGAAUUACUGGGCGUAAAGCGCGCGUAGGUGGCUUGAUAAGCCGGUUGUGAAAGCCCCGGGCUCAACCAGGGAACGGCAUCCGGAACUGUCAAGCUAGAGUGCAGGAGAGGAAGGUAGAAUUCCCGGUGUAGCGGUGAAAUGCGUAGAGAUCGGGAGGAAUACCAGUGGCGAAGGCGGCCUUCUGGACUGACACUGACACUGAGGUGCGAAAGCGUGGGUAGCAAACAGGAUUAGAUACCCGAGUAGUC
rnacentral:rRNA from 1 species